rnacentral:rRNA from 1 species
UAAGGAAUAUUGGUCAAUGGACGCAAGUCUGAACCAGCCAUGCCGCGUGAAGGAUGAAGGUCCUCUGGAUUGUAAACUUCUUUUAUCUGGGACGAAAAAAGCUCAUUCUUGAGCACUUGACGGUACCAGAAGAAUAAGCACCGGCUAACUCCGUGCCAGCAGCCGCGGUAAUACGGAGGGUGCAAGCGUUAUCCGGAUUUACUGGGUUUAAAGGGUGCGUAGGUGGAUUUGUAAGUCAGUGGUGAAAUCUCCGAGCUUAACUCGGAAACUGCCAUUGAUACUAUAAGUCAUGAAUUAUCUGGAGGUAAGCGGAAUAUGUCAUGUAGCGGUGAAAUGCUUAGAUAUGACAUAGAACACCAAUUGCGAAGGCAGGUUACCAUGAUUUAACUGACGCUGAGGGACGAAAGCGGGGGGAGCGAACA